rnacentral:lncRNA from 12 species
GCAUUCUUCAAUACUGUAUCGGGUUCAUGGACGAAAAGGGAAAUCAUUCCAGCAUAUAGUCCCAUUCUCUAAGCCUGACAUCAGGUUAGAAAACUCUCAGGAGCGUGAACACAAUUUCCCCAUAGAAUGAAAGCAGCUUGCAACGAAUUCCGGUUGGAUUGUGGCGCUGGCCCAUGGCUGAGUGAUAUGAGUUCCCACCUCGCCAGUCCUAGAAAAGUAUUCUACCCUGGACAGGCCAGAGGGAACCCUGUGCCAGCUGCCAGGGAGACUGACAUCGUGAUCACACAUCACACCAAUAUAAUGGUUUCUGCUCCUGUUGGAACACGGGAAAAUACAAUCUUUGAAUUCUACCUUGGGGGAAAAAAGGUGCUGUGCAGGCCAGUCACCGUGACACCUCCAGCAGUGGCAGGAGUGCUUGAUUCACAGG